CAGGUCUUCAAUGUAGCGAGAAAUUCCCGCACCCGGAAGCGUCCUUCAGCUGGCCCCUAAACAAAUAUAUGCUAGUUCAGUGAUAAUGAACGCCAUACUAAUUUCCAAAUUGUACACAAGAAACUAAAAUUAAAAAUAAUACAAGACUAACAAAGGCCAGAGGCUCCUGACUUGGGACAGGCGCAAAAAUGCGGCGGGGUUAAACAUGUUUGUGAGAUCUCAACCCUCCCCCUAUACCUCUAGCCAAUGUAGAAAAGUAAACGCAUAACAAUACGCACAUUAAAAUUCAGUUCAAGAGAAGUCCGAGUCUGAUGUCAGAAGAUGUAACCAA
rnacentral:lncRNA from 1 species